GUCUCUGUAGGCAAACUGGCAAAGCCGCCAUCUUGAGGGGGUGGUGCGUACGGGUUCGACUCCCGUCAGAGACAC
rnacentral:tRNA from 2 species